GUCUAAUUUUGUAAAAUGAUGGAAAAAAUGUGAAAAUAAUAUUCAAUGUACACUUAAAAUAAAGGUUCUUUAUUUGCAUAUUUGGUUCCAUGGAGAACCUAAAACAUCAACAAAAGGUUCUUUAUAGUGGACAAAGGUUCAUUAGAUUUUUAAAAGUGUUCUUCAAACUGAGAGAAAAAAAAAAGGAUGUUCACUGAAAGGUUCUUUGGGGAACUACAAAAGGUUAUUCUAUUCUAGUAGGCUAGUUGAAAAAAUAAAAAAAUAAGGCCCUGUGGACUUUUAGAAAUUAAACACUCCUAAAAGGCCACAUAUUCUUCUCAGACAUUUGAUACUUCAAUCUAAAUGUAGAAGUAUAGAAGUUCAGUAGAACUUUCCUUAACUGUUGAGCUUAUUUUACCUCCACUUGACAUCCCAAUUAUGAGUCUUCCAGAUAGGUCAGCCUUGUCAGAGCAACGUGACACAUUUGGCAAACCUCUAAUUGCCUUCAUCAGCCAGUGUGACCGGCAGUUCACGCCUCAGAACCCCGCUUGCGACUCGAUCUCAGUGACUCUACACAUCCGUUUCAACUUCUGACAGCAUACACACUCCUCCAGCUGAACCACUGCAUAUGAAUGCCACAUAAAACAACAAAUCUGUUGUGUUGAAUUUGUUUGAUGUGUCACAGAUGCCCGUUUUCAGACGCUUGCAUCAUUCUGUCAUUACCAGAACAGCAACUGAAAAAGAAUGAGUUGAGUUGUUUACCUUUGUGGCAUCGUCAUCGUUGUUGUUUACAUUGAGGAGGCUGGUGUUUUUGGAUUGACGCUCGUCUAUGAGAUUCCAGAUGCGUCCAAUGGCGAAAAUAACUCUUUUCGUGGUUUUAGUACAGAAUUAAACGGGGGAAAAGUGUCUUUGACUUGUUGAGGACGGAGGAGUCGGGAACUGUGCGCGGAAUAUACAAUAAACUGCCUCGGCCCGGUUGCUGUGGUAACUAGAGCACACCGCCACGUGAAUGUGCGCUCGCGACUUUCCACAGAAGAGCGAGAGACCUUUGGGAAUGUGGGAGGGCUGAUGUCAGUGAAUACUGAGAGUGCACAUCUUAAAUUAUACCUGGAUCUGUCUGCGCAGCAUACCAAUAUGUGAUAUUUUUAUAACUCCGGAUUCCCAGGACUCCGGAACGAGCCGCAGUGAGACUCCCACAGCAGAGACAACCAAACUGAAGCUUUUUCUCCUGAGAAGUCACUGGAAUGACCGAUAUGAAGACUUGGAUGGUUGAAAGUCACACAUUCUCUUCCCGUUAAUGACUUUGAGCCUCGAGGCCUCAGACAGGAGCCUGCAGACCUUCGGAUUGAUCCCCUCCCGUCUCCUUCAGAACAUUUCAACUGUUGUGCUCAGAAGAGAAGCUGUGCCGUAUGUGAGAGACACCCAGCAGAGAACAGAAGAACAGCUAGAGCACCUCUUAAAAAGUCACACUUUCAUGUUCUCUUUGAGAGACUUUAAAAGGACAUACCUGACAAACAUUUGCUAUUUUAAUGUUGCUGUAGGGUUAGGUAAGUUGUGGGCAAGUUUUCAGAUAAGGGAAAAAAAAUGUAUUACGUUAACACUUGCAAGUCUUAAUUACAUUUUACAAUGUUAUGAGGUGUUUUUAAUUAUAUAACAAGUGUCAGCAUUAUUCAGCUGUUUUUUAUUCCUCUUUUUGCUUAAACUAUAUUGUAGUACAGUUUAGAAUAAGUACAUAUGUGAAAUUCUUUGUACUAACUAUAAGAUGUAAUAGCUUCUACUGAAGCACAGUAAAGCAUAAGACAUUCCAAAUACUAAAUCACUUUUCACUGAAUUGUUACGCUGAUCAUAUCAUUUGUAUCAUAAACUGAUGUUUUAGUUAGAAAAAUGCAAGUUUGAAGCAUUCUCACUAGUAGUCUCAGAUUUGACCCCAACUUAUGUGACAGCGGUGUUAAAAAAAGCUCUCAGUGCAUAACCUGGUUUGAGGAUCUUUCAUGCCUUGUGUCUUUGGGAUGACCUGCUGUUUUUGGUCCUAUCAGAGUUCUUACAUCUCUUCGGCGUCUCUCUGGCAGCAGAGGACAGAGGAGAAGAUCAAGACGCCUUUGAUGUGUUGCCCACUGCAGGCGAUACCGGGAUAUGGAAUAUGAUUUCUGAAAAAUGUAACAUCUAGAUUAAAAAGUAACAUCUGGUUGAAAUUCACAACAGGGAGUGGUAUGAUUUAUGAGCUGAAUUAUUUUGAAGUGAAGUAAAUAGAUUGUUCAUUAUAUUAUUUUCUUAAGCAAACUAAGCUUUCUUUGACACUUUGAUACAUUUGCUUGGUUUUGUGUAUCAGGGAUAAAA
ensembl:lncRNA